UACGAAGGGUGCAAACGUUGCUCGGAAUUAUUGGGCGUAAAGCGCACGUAGGCGGCUUAGUAAGUUGGAUGUGAAAUCCCUCGGCUUAACCAAGGAAGUGCAUCCAAAACUACUGAGCUUGAGUACUAAAGAGGAUCGCGGAAUUCCCGGUGUAGAGGUGAAAUUCGUAGAUAUCUGGAGGAACACCGGUGGCGAAGGCGGCAUCCUGGACCGGCAUUGACGCUGAGGCGCGAAAGCUAGGGGAGCAAACGGG
rnacentral:rRNA from 1 species